GAAUUUUCCUCUUUUUUCAAACUUGAGAAGCAAAAGUGCCAUAACAAUGGUGAAACGAUUCAGAGGAAGAAUGUCAGCUUUUGACAAGUCAACUUUUAUCUCACUUGAAGUGACUGGAAGAAAUCAGCAGAUGAAAGGAAAAUUGAUGAUUGAUGAGGCCUUCGGCACAAAAAGUCGUAUCUAGCAAUGUCUCUUUACCUGUGCCUUGUGAUCAAGAGGGUUUGCUGAACCUUCCUCUGCAGCUUAAGACAUUUGCUUCAUCGGAGAAAAGGGUUUGGAGAAAUGCAUCGUGUCUUUUGCCCAUAUCCUUUGAAUUACUAACCAACUUUUUAGUCCCAAUCAGCAGCAAGUGUGGGCUCAUUGGUUUCCCGCCCUGCCGUCAUUCCUUCUCCUUAGCACCUGGUAGAGGCUGUGGAAAAGAGGUUGUAAAUGACUGCAGAUUCCUUUUAGUUUCAGGUGCUCCCAGAAAUUUUGGAUUUCCAUGUUAUCCUACUUUGACUUGGAAGGUGAUGUUUUAUCUCAUCAAUUUACAUGAUUUUAUGCAGCUAGAUUGGUGUCUCUUCCUAACAUGCUCUGCUAGGGGAGACCACUCUUUGUUUCUUGCUUUCUAG
rnacentral:lncRNA from 1 species